UAAAGCUAUAAAUAUGUAUCAAUAUGUAACGUAAACUUGAACACGAGGUACAUAAAUCUUAACUGAAGUCUGUAAAUUUGUGUCGUGAAGUCGUCCCCUGUAGAAAUGGCAUUUGGACGGAAAGUUUGGAAAAAAGAGGUGACAUUUUUACAUACAUUCUUGCCUUGGGAGCCAUUGGAUUAUUUUUAUUAUGGAGAAUAAAGUCCAAAGUCUGGCUGACUGUACAUAAAUCUGGAAGAAAACGUGUGUAAUUAUCGAGCUGACAAAUUGACCAGGAGCGAAACAUGUAAAUGAACAAGUUUUAAAUAAUAUGUACCUUUAUGUCAAAGGUCACAUGACCUAAAUGAA